UUCAGGCUGCGAACCCUGUGUGAACCAUGGUGAAACCCUGUCUCUACUAAAAAUACAAAAAAUUAGCCGGGCAUAGUGGCAGGUGCCUGUAAUCCCAGCUACUAGGGAGGCUGAGGUAGGAGAAUCGCUUGAACCUGGGAGGUGGAGGAUGCAUUUGCCUCAGAAAUCAAAAGGACUGAGAAGGCAAUGAAGACUCCAGUGCUUAGUAAACUGCAAGCUGCUGACCAGCUGCCAGGGGUUAUUCAUUCUCAGUGGCCUAAGGCCUCCUAAAAUGAAGGCUGUACCUCUGAGAGCUUCAGCUUCCUCUAAGAUUCAAGAGAACGUUCUUCUUACCAGAGCUGGGUGGUGUCUUUGGAGCGGGCGGGGUUUUUGCUGGAAU
rnacentral:lncRNA from 10 species